CCCGUCUUUAUGCGCAUCAUUUUCCGCAGGACUGGAUUGGAACAAGCGAAAAAUUAUGUGGCCAAAAUUAAAAUGCACAAAAGGCAACAUUGAAUAUGCCGCAGGAUUUGGAGGGACCAAAGGCGCAAAUUACCCAUCAGGGCAAGCAUGCGCAGGUCUCCCCUCCUUCAAACGGCGCCGUUUAACUGCUAAUAUAAACCAAAGUAUUUUUUUUUUCACUUCACUUUUUCAGAUUUUCUAAAAAAACUGAAGGAGCCUCAAUUUUUUCUCAACACCCUCCCCUACAUUCGGCCUAGGCCUUCUCUAAGCCACCGUCGCGCCGCCGCCGCCGUGGCCAACGGCCGACGGCGAAAAAAAUGGGUUUUUUAACCUUCCCUUCGCAGCGUGCUAGAAGGUUGGCCUCUAUCAACCCGCAGGACCGAAAAAGGUCUUUAGUCCCCAACUUUCGGCUCCGACGACGGCGAAGAGAGCACCGACGCCGGGCUUGCAAGGCGACGAGGUACGCUUCUUCUCCCCUCUCUUUUUAUUUCAAUAUUUAGUAUAAAAAACGAAAAUAAAAGAAAUAAAAAUAAAAUAAGUACAAGAACCGAAAAAAGGUUUUUCCUUUUGAAAUUUUCUCUGUUUUUCUUGUUUUUUAUUUAGAUCUUCGUAAAAAAGAAGAAGCUUACAAGGAAGAGAUUUUCGGCUUUUAUAGCCGAUCUACACAACUUUUAAUUUCUAUUUCUUUGUCUUUUUGCUAUUUGUUUCUUCUGUUGUUGCGUGCCUUUUGCAUUCAAUUUUUGCAGGUGUCAGAGCAUGCGGAGGAAAGGCGGCUAGGAGCGGCGGUAGCCAGGCAUGGCAGAGGAGGCGAAACGGCGUUGGGGCUGGAGCCUGGGCAUGCGGCGCAUGGAGGCUUGGGGGCUAGGGUUUGGUACUGCUGAAUGGGGUUAAUUUUUGGGCUAGGGUUUCUUAAUUUGGGCCUGUUGGGUAUUUUGGGCCACUGUUUAUUUUGGACUGUAUGUUUUUUUUGCUGGUAUUGGGCUUUAGUGUUUUGGGCCCCGGGCAAAAUGGCUCUUACA
rnacentral:lncRNA from 1 species